AGACCUCACGUUAUUCGAGCGGCCGACGUCUGAUUAGCUAGUUGGUGGGGUAACGGCCUACCAAGGCAAUGACGGGUAGCUGGUCUGAGAGGAUGGCCAGCCACAUUGGGACUGAGAUACGGCCCAGACUCCUACGGGAGGCAGCAGUGGGGAAUAUUGCGCAAUGGCCGAAAGGCUGACGCAGCGACGCCGCGUGGGGGAUGAAGCAUUUCGGUGUGUAAACCCCUGUUGCCCGGGACGAACAAGCAGAUUUUUCUGCUCUGACGGUACCGGGUGAGGAAGCACCGGCUAACUCCGUGCCAGCAGCCGCGGUAAUACGGAGGGUGCGAGCGUUGUCCGGAAUCACUGGGCGUAAAGGGCGCGUAGGCGGUCUGCUAAGCGUGCGGUGNNNNNNCCGGGGCUCAACCCCGGGUCUGCCGUGCGAACUGGUGGACUAGAGCACUGUAGAGGCAGGUGGAAUUCCGGGUGUAGCGGNGGAAUGCGUAGAGAUCCGGAAGAACACCGGUGGCGAAGGCGGCCUGCUGGGCAGUAGCUGACGCUGAGGCGCGACAGCGUGGGGAGCAAACAGGAUUAGAUACCCCGGUAGUCCACGCCGUAAACGAUGGGGACUAGGUGCUUGGGGGAGCGACCCCUCGAGUGCCGGCGCUAACGCAUUAAGUCCCCCGCCUGGGGAGUACGGCCGCAAGGCUGAAACUCAAAGGAAUUGACGGGGGCCCGCACAAGCGGUGGAGCAUGUGGUUUAAUUCGACGCAACGCGAAGAACCUUACCCAGGCUUGACAUGGAUGGGAAAGCCUCUGGAAACAGGGGCCCCUCUUCGGAGCUCAUUCACAGGUGCUGCAUGGCUGUCGUCAGCUCGUGUCGUGAGAUGUUGGGUUAAGUCCCGCAACGAGCGCAACCCUUGCCCUUAGUUACCAGCGAGUAAAGUCGGGGACUCUAGGGGGACUGCCGGUGCCAAACCGGAGGAAGGUGGGGACGACGUCAAGUCAUCAUGGUCCUUACGUCUGGGGCUACACACGUGCUACAAUGGCCGGUACAGAGGGCUGCGAAAGCGCAAGCUGGAGCCAAUCCCUAAAGCCGGCCUCAGUUCGGAUUGUCGUCUGCAACUCGACGGCAUGAAGCUGGAAUCGCUAGUAAUCGCGGAUCGGCGACGCCGCGGUGAAUACGUUCCCGGGCCU
rnacentral:rRNA from 1 species